rnacentral:rRNA from 1 species
AACGAACGCUGGCGGCAGGCCUAACACAUGCAAGUCGAACGCGUCCUUCGGGACGAGUGGCAGACGGGUGAGUAACGCGUGGGAACGUACCCUUUGGUUCGGAACAACAGCGGGAAACUGCUGCUAAUACCGGAUAAGCCCUUCGGGGAAGAUUAUCGCCAGAGGAUCGGCCCGCGUUAGAUUAGCUUGUUGGUGAGGUAAUGGCUCACCAAGGCUACGAUCUAUAGCUGGUCUGAGAGGAUGAUCAGCCACACUGGGACUGAGACACGGCCCAGACUCUUACGGGAGGCAGCAGUGGGGAAGUCUUGGACAAUGGGCGGAAAGCCUGAUCCAGCCAUGCCGCGUGAAUGAUGAAGG